rnacentral:rRNA from 1 species
ACAUGCAAGUCGAACGAGAAGUACGUAGCAAUACGUAUUGUAAAGUGGCGCACGGGUGAGUAACACGUGGGUAAUCUGCCCUUGAGUUUGGGAUAACCCCGCGAAAGCGGGGCUAAUACCGAAUAAGACCACGGGGACCAAAGUCCCUGAGGUAAAAGGUGGCCUCUAUUUAUAAGCUACCCCUUGAGGAUGAGCCCGCGGCCCAUUAGCUAGUUGGCAGGGUAACGGCCUACCAAGGCUAUGAUGGGUAGCUGGUCUGAGAGGACGAUCAGCCACACUGGAACUGAGACACGGUCCAGACUCCUACGGGAGGCAGCAGUGGGGAAUAUUGCGCAAUGGGCGAAAGCCUGACGCAGCAACGCCGCGUGGGGGAUGAAGGUUCUCGGAUUGUAAACCCCUUUCGAUCGGAACGAAUCUCCUCCUGGUAAAUAAUCAGGAGGAUCGACGGUACCGAGAGAAGAAGCCACGGCUAACUCUGUGCCAGCAGCCGCGGUAAGACAGAGGUGGCGAGCGUUGUUCGGAUUUAUUGGGCGUAAAGCGAACGCAGGUGGUUUGGUAAGUCAGGGGUGAAAGCCCACAGCUUAACUGUGGCACUGCCUUUGAUACUGCCUUUCUUGAGUGCAUGAGGGGGAAGCGGAAUUCCGAGUGUAGAGGUGAAAUUCGUAGAUAUUCGGAGGAACACCGGUGGCGAAGGCGGCUUCCUGGCAUGCAACUGACACUCAUGUUCGAAAGCGUGGGUAGCAAACAGGAUUAGAUACCCUGGUAGUCCACGCCCUAAACGAUGGGCACUAGGUGUGGGAGGUAUCGACCCCUUCCGUGCCGCAGCUAACGCAUUAAGUGCCCCGCCUGGGGAGUACGGCCGCAAGGUUGAAACUCAAAGGAAUUGACGGGGGCCCGC